UCAACCUGAGAGUUUGAUUCUGGCUCAGAACGAACGCUGGCGGAAGGCUUAACACAUGCAAGUCGAGCGCGCCCUUCGGGGUGAGCGGCAGACGGGUGAGUAACGCGUGGGAACGUGCCCUUUGGUUCGGAAUAGCCCUUGGAAACGAGGAGUAAUGCCGAAUGUGCCCUUCGGGGGAAAGAUUUAUCGCCAAAGGAUCGGCCCGCGUUAGAUUAGCUAGUUGGUGAG
rnacentral:rRNA from 1 species